rnacentral:rRNA from 1 species
UACGAAGGGGGCUAGCGUUGUUCGGAAUCACUGGGCGUAAAGCGCACGCAGGCGGAUUGAUAAGUCAGGGGUGAAAUCCCGGAGCUCAACUUCGGAAUUGCCUUUGAUACUGUCUGUCUUGAGUCCGGGAGAGGUGAGUGGAAUUCCUAGUGUAGAGGUGAAAUUCGUAGAUAUUAGGAAGAACACCAGUGGCGAAGGCGGUCUGCUGGGCAGUGGGAUCGAAAGGUCCCUUUAACCGACACUGAGGCGCGACAGCGUGGGGAGCAAACAGG